rnacentral:ncRNA from 2 species
CUUUUAUCAGGAGAAGGUGGAGGGACAGGCCCGAUGAAACCCAGCAACCACUUGCCGAGUGCAGGAAUGGUGCCAACCUGGCAAAACACAACUCUGUGUUCUGCAAGAUAAGAG